rnacentral:rRNA from 1 species
AAAAACUCCGGUGGUAUCCGAUGGAUCCGCGUCUGAUUAGCUUGUUGGCGGGGUAAAGGCCCACCAAGGCGACGAUCAGUAGCCGGCCUGAGAGGGUGAACGGCCACAUUGGGACUGAGACACGGCCCAAACUCCUACGGGAGGCAGCAGUGGGGAAUAUUGCACAAUGGGGGAAACCCUGAUGCAGCGACGCCGCGUGAGUGAAGAAGUAUUUCGGUACGUAAAGCUCUAUCAGCAGGGAAGAAAAUGACGGUACCUGACUAAGAAGCCCCGGCUAACUACGUGCCAGCAGCCGCGGUAAUACGUAGGGGGCAAGCGUUAUCCGGAUUUACUGGGUGUAAAGGGAGCGUAGACGGCAGCGCAAGUCUGAAGUGAAAUCCCAUGGCUUAACCAUGGAACUGCUUUGGAAACUGUGCAGCUGGAGUGCAGGAGAGGUAAGCGGAAUUCCUAGUGUAGCGGUGAAAUGCGUAGAUAUUAGGAGGAACACCAGUGGCGAAGGCGGCUUACUGGACUGUAACUGACGUUGAGGCUCGAAAGCGUGGGGAGCAAACAGGAUUAGAUACCCUGGUAGUCCACGCUGUAAACGAUGAUUACUAGGUGUUGGGGGACCAAGGUCCUUCG